CGGCGAGUGAAGCGGCAAAAGCUCAAAUUUGAAACCCUCGGGAUUGUAAUUUGAAGAUUUGGCAUUGGAGAAAGCUAACCCAAGUUGCUUGGAAUAGUACGUCAUAGAGGGUGACAACCCCGUCUGGCUAACCGUUCUCCAUGUAUUGCCUUAUCAAAGAGUCGAGUUGUUUGGGAAUGCAGCUCAAAGUGGGUGGUAAACUCCAUCUAAAGCUAAAUACUGGUGAGAGACCGAUAGCGAACAAGUACUGUGAAGGAAAGGUGAAAAGAACUUUGAAAAGAGAGUGAAAUAGUAUGUGAAAUUGUUGAUAGGGAAGGAAAUGAGUGGAGAGUGGCCGAGGUUUCAGCCGCCCCUCGUGGGCGGUGUACUGCCGACGCCGAGUCAUCGAUAGCGAGACGAGGGUUACAAAUGGGAGCGCCUUCGGGCGUUCUCCCCUAACCCUCCACACUGCCACCGACGACAUAAUCCACCCAUUUCACCCGUCUUGAAACACGGAC
rnacentral:rRNA from 1 species